rnacentral:lncRNA from 1 species
UCCGCCAAUAAGAAGCUUUGGAAGCAACAAAAUAUAACUGAAUUUUCAUGUGAUUAAAUGACUGAAGAAGCGUUCCACUAUGGUCGAUUCAAUAGUUUGUCCUAGCUCCCUGCAAACAAGGGAAUAAUGUUCGAUUUGGGUAAGCUCUUUUCGAACAAGUUAUUUCGGUAAAGAGGGAGAUAAAGCUUUUUCACUUCAACUAAUCAUUGAUUGCAGGUAAGCCUGAAGCUUUGAGACGGCUGAUGUCGGUAUUGUGU